rnacentral:tRNA from 1 species
GCCCUCUUAGCUCAGUUGGUAGAGCACUUCCAUGGUAAGGAAGGGGUCUGCGGUUCGAGUCCGCAAGAGGGCU